UCCCUGGAGGACUAGUGGUUAGGCCUUGGCGCACUCACCGCCACGGCCCGGGUUUGAUUCCUGGCCAGGGAA